rnacentral:rRNA from 1 species
GACGAACGCUGGCGGCGUGCCUAAUACAUGCAAGUAGAGCGCUGAAGCGAGGAGCUUGCUCUUCUUGGAUGAGUUGCGAACGGGUGAGUAACGCGUAGGUAACCUGCCUUGUAGCGGGGGAUAACUAUUGGAAACGAUAGCUAAUACCGCAUAACAAUGGAUGACACAUGUCAUUUAUUUGAAAGGGGCAAUUGCUCCACUACAAGAUGGACCUGCGUUGUAUUAGCUAGUAGGUGAGGUAAUGGCCCACCUAGGCGACGAUACAUAGCCGACCUGAGAGGGUGAUCGGCCACACUGGGAAUGGGACACGGCCCAGACUCCUACGGGGGGCAGCAGGAGGGAAUCUUCGGCAAUGGGGGCAACCCUGACCGAGCAACGCCGGGGGAGUGAAGAAGGUUUUCGGAUCGGAAAGCUCUGUUGUAAGUCAAGAACGGGUGUGAGAGUGGAAAGUUCACACUGUGACGGUAGCUUACCAGAAAGGGACGGCUAACUACGUG